rnacentral:rRNA from 1 species
GACGAACGCUGGCGGCGUGCCUAAUACAUGCAAGUAGAACGCUGAAGGAGGAGCUUGCUCUUCUGGAUGAGUUGCGAACGGGUGAGUAACGCGUAGGUAACCUGCCUGGUAGCGGGGGAUAACUAUUGGAAACGAUAGCUAAUACCGCAUAAUAGUAGAUGUUGCAUGAUAUUUACUUAAAAGGUGCAAUUGCACCACUACCAGAUGGACCUGCGUUGUAUUAGCUAGUUGGUGGGGUAACGGCUCACCAAGGCGACGAUACAUAGCCGACCUGAGAGGGUGAUCGGCCAAAAUGGGAAUGAGAAAAGGCCCAGACUACUACGGGAGGAAGCAGUAGGGAAUCUUCGGCAAUGGACGAAAGUCUGACCGAGCAACGCCGCGUGAGUGAAGAAGGGUUUCGGAUCGUAAAGCUCUGUUGUAAGAGAAGAACGAGUGUGAGAGUGGAAAGUUCACAAUGUGACGGUAUCUUACCAGAAAGGGACGGCUAACUACGUG